GUGGGGGUACCCCGUGCGCGGGGCCUGUGGGGCUCUUUUUUGCGGUAGGUGUUACAGCGCGAAGCUCUGGUGUGUCCCGGUGCCCCUUUCCUUCGCAGGCUCCCUGGGCAGCCUCCCUGGCUCCUCGGCGUGAUGGGCGGUGGUGCAGGGGGUGCAAGACGGGCCGUUUGCUUCUCGGCCGGCUCUGAAUCCUCUCCAGCGAGCGCCUCGCAAAGCACCAGAUUUCCCUUCUUUAACGAGAAAGAAAUGCACACGUGUUGCGGUUCCGGAAGCAGCGCCGGACAUCGCUUCAGUUCUAGGGGGAGUUUGGGACCCUCGGUGUAAAUAGUGUGAAGCUGAGAGCGGGGAGCUGAAGGGACGGUGUUAUUCAGUGCGUGCGUACUCCGGAAACCUUACAUUGUGCAGAGAUGUAUCCAGUACGGCGGGGAGCUGGGGCCGGGGCCGCUGCCGAGCCGGGACCCGCCGGAGCCGGAGCUGGGACCCGCUGCUGCCCGCCCCUUGCCCCAGUAAAGCUCCCCCGUGUCCGUGUGGCUCGUUUCAAUAAAGGUGUUUGACCCCGUG